UUGCACGCUGGCGGCAUGCUUUACCCAUGCAAGUCGAACGGCAGCGCGGGCUUCGGCCUGGCGGCGAGUGGCGAACGGGUGAGUAAUACAUCGGAACGUGCCCAGUAGUGGGGGAUAGCUCGGCGAAAGCCGGAUUAAUACCGCAUACGACCUGAGGGUGAAAGCGGGGGAUCUUCGGACCUCGCGCUAUUGGAGCGGCCGAUGGCAGAUUAGCUCGUUGGUGGGGUAAAGGCCUACCAAGGCGACGAUCUGUAGCUGGUCUGAGAGGACGACCAGCCACACUGGGACUGAGACACGGCCCAGACUCCUACGGGAGGCAGCAGUGGGGAAUUUUGGACAAUGGGCGAAAGCCUGAUCCAGCAAUGCCGCGUGUGUGAUGAAGGCCUUCGGGUUGUAAAGCACUUUUGGCGGGAACGAAAAGGACUGUGCCAAUACCACGGUUCGAUGACGGUACCCGCAGAAUAAGCACCGGCUAACUACGUG
rnacentral:rRNA from 1 species